UACAGAGGGUGCGAGCGUUAAUCGGAGUUACUGGGCGUAAAGGGUGCGUAGGCGGUUUUGAAGGUGGGAUGUGAAAGCCCUGGGCUUAACCUGGGACGUGCAUACCAAACACCAAAACUGGAGUAUGGGAGAGGGUGGUGGAAUUUCCGGUGUAGCGGUGAAAUGCGUAGAGAUCGGAAGGAACGCCAGUGGCGAAAGCGACCACCUGGCCCAAUACUGACGCUGAGGCACGAAAGCGUGGGGAGCGAACAGG
rnacentral:rRNA from 1 species